rnacentral:lncRNA from 1 species
GUUUUCUUUUCUUUACCAGUUGGCCUUUAGGUAUUUAUAAGUGACACCAGUGGCAUCAGGUUUUUGUUUUUUUUUAAUUCUGAUUUUUAAAUUUAAAUUCAGUUAAUUAAUUUACAAUGUCAUCUUAGUUUCAGAGGGAGAGGUCAGUGAUUCAUCAGUUGCAUAUACCACCCAGGCUCAUCCCAUCACGUGCCCUCCUUAAUGUCUAUCACCCAGUUACCCCAUUGCCCCACCCCUUACCCUUCCCACCACUCCAAGUUUGUUUCCUAUGGGUAAGAGUCCCUCAUGGUUUCACCUACUGUGACAGAGAACUUAAAGAUCUUUCCACAUACAGCUGACGUCUUUCUUGAUCCCCAUCUCAGCAUGAUGCUAUUUCUGUUGGUCCUUAUACCCACCUUGUCUUGUGUCUUGCUCAGCAUCGGGGUCCUUCACCUGGGCAGCAAUGUCUGGGCAAGGCUUCCUGCCUUCUGGGUGACCAGAUGCUUCAGAAAGAGUAUAUUCUGGUCUGUCGCUGUCCUUGAAGUGCCAGCAGAACCACCAUCCUGUGCAAUUUAACCACAGUUUUUCUCAAAACUGUGAUGUUGCUAUAAAACCUAGUGUUAGGAGCCUGUGGCAGGGAAACUGGAGGGACUGUUGAGAUUGAGCAGUGUUCUACAGCAGGCAGGCUGCCAUGGGUUGAGAUAAAGGACAAGGAGGUAGGCAAGGCACGCAGGCCGCUCUUAGGACAGGGGAGUGGCUGCAGAUGGAGAGAGAGGAUGGGCCCAAGGCAAGGAAAGAUGACAUCAGUAGAGAGAUGCUGGUCUUUGAGAGGCAUCUGACAAUCCUGGGGAUGAUAAGGGAUGUAGGAGACUUGGGGAUGGCAUGGAGAGAGAAUGAAGAAAUCUGCAUUUUCUUAGUGAAGUAGGAGCAGAGUUGGCCCUGGUAAGACACUGUUUUGUAGACAUCUCAGGCUUUCUGGGGAAAUUGAAUUAGGUUCUCAGUGCAAACGAUACAACUUUAAGCUUUGGUUUUAUAUCUGUCUGCCCAUUUUUGGCUCGAGUUUUCUCAUCCAUGAGCUCUGCAGCAUCUAAUUUUCUAACAGUUUAGGAGGCCGUAAAACAGAGAUCAGGUGACUGAAGAAAACUCUUGGCCUUUCUAAAGAAAAAGCUGUGGAAAAAAUUCAAGGCAGUAUUGUCAUCUUCAUGAUUUGUGUUAUUUAAAAACUAAUUUUCUAAAAUACAGUAUUUCAAUUUUUUAAAACAUUUCAUGUCUUAACAUCAUAGGUAUCGGGGUGCAUCUUACCGUUGAUGGCAUGUCAUCAACUUUCUUGGCACAAUAAUUGUGCAUGUUACAAAAUAGAUGGUGUCUUAGGGUGGGUGACCAUAACAGAAGACCACAGACUGGGUGGCUUAACCAGUAGAUGUCUAUUUUCUCACAGUUCUGGAACUGGCAAGUCCCAGAUGAAGGUCGCCACCAAUCUAUUUUCUGGUAAGAGCCUUCUUUCCGGCUUCCAUAUAGCUACCUUCUUGCUGGGCCCUCACGUGACCUUUCCUCUGUGUGCACAUGGAGAGAGCGUUCUCCAGUGUCUUUGCUUGGAUUUGUGUUUUUAAGUAGGCUCCACGCCCAAUGUGGAGCUUGAACUCAACCCCAAGACUAAAAGAUACACUCUCUACUGAGCAUGGCAGGUGCCCCUCAGGUGUCUUUUCUUAUAAGGACAUUAUAAGGGCCCCCACCCUUAUGACUUCAUUUAACCUUAGUUACCUCCUUGUUAGCCCCAGCUUCAAAUACAGCCACAUUCAGAGUUAGAGCUUCAACAUAGGAAUUUGGGAGGAGACACAAACAUUCAGACCAUGAAGAUGGUCUGAUCCCAUUACAUGGUCUAGAUGGUCUAGAUGGUCUAGAUGGUCUAGAUCCCAUUACAUACUGGAUGGCCAUCACCAAGAAAUACUUCUAUCAGCCAUAGGAGCUUCAGGUUAAAUCUUUUGUCUUAUUUAUUUUUAUUUUUAAAAAUUUUAAAAAAUAUUUUAUUUAUUUAUUCAUGAGAGACAGAGAGAG